rnacentral:misc_RNA from 1 species
GGAAGUGAAAGUCGUAACAAGGUUUCCGUAGGUGAACCUGCGGAAGGAUCAUUAUUGUAUAACCGAGGUGCGAGGGCUGUCGCUGACCCGAAAGGUCGUGCACGCCCGAGUGCCCUCACACACAUCCAUCUCACCCCUAUGUGCACCACCGCGUGGGUCCCCCUUUGGCUUGUUCGGAGGGGGGCUUACGUUUUCACACAAACUUUGUAUGCAGUGUAGAAUGUAUUUUUUGUUUUUGCGAUCACGCAAUCAAUACAACUUUCAACAACGGAACUCUUGGCUCUC